rnacentral:sRNA from 1 species
CUGCGGGAUAGGCUGACGGGCCGAAAAGGGGCAAUCCUGAGCCCCCUUCCCGUGGAUUUUAAAAUCAGGA